UACGAAGCGCCGGAUCGCCGGGCAAAGCAGAACGCUGCGAGAGGUCCGAGCGAUCGGUUGGACUCUGCAAAUUUAUAAUACAGUCGACUCGAGAGAAAUUGCAGAAACCCGAGAAGGGUUUUUGUAUCAAAUCAAAAGUUCGCUGCUCUGAGGAGGCGAUCAGGGAGUCGUAGCCCUGGAAAGGACAUCGUCAACGUGGCCGUCGAGACGUGGCUCCGAUUUCGACGUACCCGCAAUACAGAUCCUAAAGCCAUCCAACGCGCCAACGCCACUACUCCGAGCGCAGAGCAUCAGUGAUCGACGCAUUGUAAGCGAACGAAUUUGAAUCGAAGUUAUAGAUAUCGAGCCGGCCAUUCAAAUAGUAGCGGAGACAAGCUUGUCUUUUAGAGCAAAGCCACAUUUAAUUUGUUGACGACGAUAGCGCGCUGCGCAAGUCAAAGCAUGUAUGUGAGUGUGUGUGAUUUGAUAAAUGUGCAUGCGCGCAUAUAAUUUUUUUUUAAGAUUAGUUCGACGAACGACGGUAUCCCAGUUGUGCCUCGUAGAAUUUUGUACUCAAAAUAACAACGUACCUUAUUUUAUUUGAAAUAUACAUAUAUUUAUUCUCCCUAUACAUCCAUUUAUUACAAAUGUUAACAUUUUUGAAAGUAUUUACAGCGAUCACAAGCCAUUAUGGUUUGGAUUACAAAUAAAUAGUAUGUGAAUUCAAAUACAACAGUUCUUUGAUUUUAAAGUAACCAUUUUAUUAAUGAUACGAUACAACGAGAUGAAUAAUGAAACACUUUAUGAAAUCAUAUUAAUUACAAUAAUUGAAUUAUUCAUAUUCAUAUACUAGAUAACAUUUAAAAUUCAAAAAGUAAAAUCAACUGAAUUUAUAGCCCUAGCAUUAUUCCUUUUAAAAAAACAGGCUAACCUCGCCUGAUAUAUGUUGCAUUACAGGAUUUAAAUACAUACAGAACAAAUUAGCAACUAUAAAUUCAGUUGAUAAAAUUUUAUAUGAUUUCAUAAAAAAAAUAUAUUAGAUUCUUAUUUUAUAAAUAAAAUAUAAAAUAUAUUAAUCAAUUAAUAAUAAUUAAGACAAAGUUUUAGUUAUCAAACAAAAUAUAUUUUAUUUAAGUAAAUCAAUAAAAAUAUUCGAAUGAAACUGAGUAGCUUUAUUUAGAUUGUGCAAUUGACGAAUGUGAAAAAAUUAAUCUGUUUCAUAAGAAUACGAAUUUCUUCUAUACAACAUGGGUCAGGUGUUGUUGUAAUGCGCACAAGAAAAAGCAAUGCCACUUUUUUAUGUAAUUAAACGAAUUUUAUUGAUAUAAGGAUGACACGUCUAGCCUCUCUCGUAGUCGAGAAAAAAGUGCUCAAUUUUCCGAGCUCUUUCCUGUUUUUGCCAAAACAUCUCCAUGGAAACUCAAUGUUCUCAUUUCGAUUAUGAUUUUUACUCCAUUUCCUUUCUUGUUUUCGAACGCUUCUAUGGCACACCGUCCGUAAGAGGACAAUUUCCUCUUACCCCGUAGCUAUCACCAUUAUUUGGUUAUCAGAACCAUAGUGGUGAGAGAAUAGUGGCCCCGGACAAACCACAUCGAAUGCCGUGCACACAAGCCUACACAACAGCAUCAACUUUGGGUGUAUUCCGUUUUGUCUCGAGAUUCUCGAGACAUAACGAAACGUUCCGAUAUGUAGUUCUGAAACGCGAAACGGAACGUUCCAAUAUAAUCCGCUGUUGGCGCUGCUGGCAGUAUUGCGAAUCGUGAUACUGCGUGAGCGCGCGAGGUCGACUAGCUAUGUAACAUCGUGUUCAUACCGGCAAGCCUCUCCGGGGUUUUGGCUGCUGUUUUCGUUGAUCGUUUUGAGUCUCGUCUCGUUAUCGCCUCGUCGUGUUUUAAGAAGUGGUGAAGACCUGGUUCUGAACAUUUUAGCUGCAAAGCGAUAAUUCGACUAUUGUUUCAUGCAAAGUUGUAAAGGGAUCUCGGCCCGUUGCAUGGACAUGGUUGCCGGUAUGAACACGAGAUUACAGCUAGUCACGCUCGCGCACUUUCACGAUUCGCAGUACUGCCAGCAGCGCCAACAGCGGAUUAUAUUGGAACGUUCCGUUUUGCGUUUCAGCACUACAUAUCGGAACGUUCCGUUAUGUCUCGAGAAUCUCGAGACAAAACGGAAUACACCCUUUAUCUGCUGUGUCGAAACGCUCUCAAAUUCUUAGAAUCUUAUUUGCAAAACAGGAGAGAACUUAAAAAUUUCAGCGAAAUAAAAAACACUUCAUUUCUGCUUAAACUUAUUAUUCAUUCUGUUACAGUUGUAUAAUAUCAACAUAUACAUAUGGUUUGGUGAGUAUAUUGAAAAUACUAUUAUUUAUAUAAAAUAUAUAUUUUUUGCAGCAAGGAACAGCGUCUCUCACCACGUCGCAACCGGUAAUCAGAAUAGCAAAAAAAAAAACCGAUGUCUUCUUUCAUCGUCAAGUCUUACCCCAUUACAGUUCGUCAAUAAUAUUUGAAUAUCUGCAUACUUUGUGUGUGUGUGUGCACGCGCGUCUGUGUGUAUGUAUAUAUAGGUGUGUGUUCAUCGGCGAACCUUUAAAUAUUGGCGAGUGCCCUAUGUGAAAAGCAAAGCGUUCCGCUUUUAGCGUUCGAUUCGUCAGAGCGUCAGGAAAUUUUGUGACCCAGUGUGAUUAAUUACUUUUUUGAAAAUGCUUUAUUGCAUAAAUAAUAAGCAUUUUAAAAUUGCAUUCCGAGGAGACACUAACUAAAAAAUUUACAAGUCGGUAAAUAUUGAUGGAAAUGUCCAGUUUUGCUACUCGGGAGGUUUUGGGGUCGCUGAACACGAAUAUGACAACGGCAGCGGCCUUUAAGGUACCUGGUACCCAGGGUAGACCAUAUGAACGUCGUCUCCUAGAGUUUCACGAAAAAUCAACAACAUAUUUCGUCGAGACUUUUUAUAUGGGGGUUUUCGAGGUAAAAGAACAAGAAUAUUGUGACGGCAACUCUCCCAGAGGUACUUUGUAUCCAGGGUAGAUAGUGUCAAUGUCGUCUCCUUGAGUUUUGUGGGAAUUUGAUAGUAAUUAAGUCAAAUAUGUUACUCAGGGAUUUCUCGGGCCACUGAACAUGGAUAUAGUGUUUUACUCAAGAUAAUUCUAGAAGACAACGUUGAUACUGUCUACCCUGGGCACCAGGUACCUCAGAGGCCAUCGCCGUCGCCAUAUUCAUGUUCAGGGACCCCAAAAACCCCCGAGUGACGAGUUUCGAGUUGAUAUGUUACAAUUUUCCGUAAAAUUCUCGGAGACGACGGUCUACCCUGGGCACCAGGUACCUCGGAGGCCGUCGCCGUAUUCGUGUUGAGCGACCCCAAAAACUCCCGAGUAGCAAAACUGGACUCAUUUCCAUCAAUAUUUAGCGAGUGAAUGAAAACGAUAAAAAUGACGUAAAAGUAGUAGUUGAGAAAAGGACUAUUCGCGUACUCUUGCUCAAAUAUACAAAAUAAAAUUUUAAAGUCAAUUUGUAGUAAAUAUCGUUCCUUUGCUGAGUACUGAGUAAAAACUCAAUGACAGAGUUUUUGCAUUUUGAAAUUACAGUCCUUGAGGAACGAAUUAGUGCAACAGAUUCUUUUUUUAGUAAGUUUUCUGUAUUCAAUACAAAAAUACAUUUCGCCCUAGAUAAUAGUCAACUCUAGAAGUUGAUUUAAUGAGUUCACAUACAAUUUACAAUAAUUAUUAUUUAAAAAUUGACUGAAAAUACUGAACUCCCAUAUACCACCAAUAGUCUACGAAAGUUUUUAAAUCUUCAUGCGUCUAUUCUUCGUCUAAUGUUCGCGCGGCUGCAUCGAGUAAUAAUGAUACCACGUAAAAGAAUAUUUUAUUAUAAUGCAUCAGAAAUUAUAAAAUUAAAAACUAAAAAUUGACUUUGAAAUGUCGGUAGCAUUUGAAUCGGAUGUUUAUUUUUCAAGCAAUUAAAUUGCUUUACUAACAGCCUAAAAACAUCCAGUAAUCAUUUUUUAAAGAGCGAUAAUAACCGUAUAUUUACUACUAAAAUUUCUAAAUAGAUUUAAUUCUAUGUGCUUCGUUAGCUAUAAACAUACUUUUAGAAUUGAAAUUUAUAGAACUAUAAUGCAUUAAACCAUUAUGACAAUUCUAAAUUUAUAGUAAUAUCAUUUGUCUACACUUUAAAAUUAAAAGUACAUUUUAAUAUGAAAAAUUCAAGUACGUUUUAAACAUACUGGGAGGGGGAUAUGUUAUUUUAGAAAAGUGAGUGCUUCCUCAAUUGAAAUAUACGAAAAAUUUAUUUACAUAGAAACAUUAAUACAAAUACGUAUUUGUUACAAUAUUAUAACUGCUGCACUGAUUCUGUAUACGUCUUGCGUUAUAUUUUCAGGCGAAAGGUUCCAUGUCACGUGCGUUGCGUUGCAAAAUAUAUUGAAAUAAAAACAUGCGUAUCAGUUGCAAAAUAAUAUUUUUAACAAAUAAAAUAAAAUGAAACUUAUGAUGCACUGA